CAUUUAUUCGCCGGUUAUGUUGACUGACAGCCGCUUAAACCACUGACAAGGCUACAUGUACACAUUAUCCCGCCUUCCUCCUACCAAUAGGAUACGAGAAGCAGAAACGUCGACCAAUCAUGUUCAGCGCAGCCCUUCGGUUCCACUCAGCAGCCGGCAUUGCGGACGUGUGCUGUCUGGAUGAGGACGCUCUGUAUUCUCACAUAUUAAUUGGGCUUAAAACAUUUCAGUUCGCUGUUUGAGUUACGCGUGUUUUCAUGAGGGCACAUGGUGAAGUGUUAAUCUUUGUGGUGGGCUUGGUGUGGUCGUCUCUAGCCGUUUUCGUGCUUGACGUUUGGUGGUGGUAACUGGUAGACUGUAACCAGUAUUUUGCAUAUGAAAAAUGAUUGGAAUUAAGUACCAUGCGACCUUUCCUCUUGCUGCUGGUGCACUAUUUGUAGCCAUUCCAUAUAGCAUCUCGCUUGUUGCCCAGUGGUUGUACGGUUGGCCCAAUAAACCAGGCUACAAAAAGUAUAUAGAGGCGCUCAAACCCAGGCGAAUAUACUGUUUGACAAGAGCUGUCCUGGAAAUGCUGAAGUAUCUGCAGUAUGGCAAACUGUAUUUCCAGUGGAAGUCAUGGUACAAGAAUGUCAACAAUAAUAAGCAUUGUGUGAAGGGCAUCACUUUUGGUCGUAGAGGCAACAAAUUAGACUUGUACCAUUCCCCAAGCAUGGGCCAGCCAAAGACUGGGCUUAUUCCAGUUAUAGUGUUUGUAUAUGGAGGUGCCUGGGGCUCAGGAGAGAGAUCAACGUACUGUCUACUCGCGCUACAAAUGGCCCAAGAACUUAGUGCCUCCGUGAUUUGCCCUGAUUAUUCCAUAUAUCCAAAAGGGAAUGUUUUAAAUAUGGUGCAGGACAUAAGUGACAGUCUGAUAUGGGUGCGAGAGAAUGGCCAUUUUUUCAAUCUUGACAAAGACAACAUUGUGUUAAUAGGCCAUUCAGCAGGUGCUCAUCUUUGUGCCCUGACAACACUGUUUCUUGUGGAAGGUGUGGAUGAGCUGUUUAUUGAACAAUCCCAGCAGAGGGAAAUUACAAACUCUAUUAAAGGAAUCAUAGGUUUGAGUGGCGUGUACAAUAUAAUGGAUCAUUAUCGACAUGAGAAAAUGCGAGCUGUGGAAUAUGUCUCGACUAUGCACAAAGCCAUGGAUGGCAUAGAGAACUUUGAUUAUUAUUCACCUACAGUACUACUUCAGAGACUGAACAAGAGCCAGUUAAAAAGAGUUCCUCCAAUAGCUUUACUCCAUGGCACCAAUGACAUCAUCGUUCCAGUGGAGUCAUCCUUAAAAUUCUCUGAGGUCCUCACUUCGCUCUCCAUUCCAGUGGCCUUGUAUCUCCUGCCUAAGAUGGAUCACACCAAGAUUGUUACUGAUCUCAUGGCACCUGAAAGGCACUUUUAUCAUACAGUAUUUGCCUGCAUCAAACAGGAAUGCAGAAAAUGUAUUAAACCAUGUUAAUGUUUGACUUAGAUUGUUAUAACUGUUAAUUGUGCUGAGUGUUUAACAUCAUUCGGCUGUUUUUCCACAUGCUGUAUUUGUUUUACGCUCCUCACAUUAUUUGAAACAUUUUUAAUCACAAAAUACUGUUAUUGCCAUUAUUAUAGCAAAUGAGUGAGACCAAGGAAUUUAUACUAUAUAUUUUAUUUGUGAUAAUUUACAGUCUGUACAGUCUGAAUCAUUUAUAUCCUGUUAAAAUUUUCUGCUCAGCCUUCAGUGUUAUUACAUUCAAUUUAUCUUUGCAC
ensembl:lncRNA